rnacentral:misc_RNA from 1 species
AUCAAAAGCUAUGGUGGAUUUCGGUGAUGAGGAGUAUAAACACAUGGUAUGUGUUGAUGGAGCAGCAAUUGAGAGACCUAUCACCUUGAAGCCAGGCGAGGAAUGGACAGGGCGUUUAGAGCUCUCAGUUGUACCUUCGAGUUUCUGUAGUGAACACUAUGAUCUUCAGAGAAGAGGUCUUUGAAGAAUACAUGAGUUUUCAAGAGUAAAUGGCC